ensembl:lncRNA
GAUUACCAAUAUAUGAAGCACCUUUAUGAAACCAAUCAGAAGAGAAGAAGGCUUCUUUCUUACCUUGCCAGGUGAGCCCUGUCAUCACAGAUUUCCCUCGCAUCCUGACAAAACCCAGCUGUGUUGGGUCUCAAAUAGACUUUCACUUUCCUCUUCUCUGCAAACUGCCCCCUAAAUCCAUGUCUCAACAAAGACCUACAGAAUGAGCCGGGGUCAGAGCACAAGCCCAAACAUUUCCUCCUUAGAUAAAUCAGUGAACACAAUGCCUCUUCCAAAACUUAAAGCCAGGCGUGGGAUUGUCAGAAAGCCCAUCGUAGCCUCUCUCGCAGGGACCACCAAAGCAGUAUCCUUGUCCCAAAGGCUUUAACCUCCUGCUAAGCCCAGAUCAGAGAGGCCUUUAUCAUCAGGUGGAUCUUACAAACCUCGCACACUUGCUCAGCAGGUUUCAGGUGAGGAGAAGAAAACCUCCAGCACUCAUCCGUCCACUUUCUUCGGAGGACAGAACCGGCUGGAUUUGGGCAGUUGUAAUGACAACGGGGUGUCAGGCUCUGUGAAUACAGCACAGAAUGGGAAUAGACGAGCACAGAGAGGAAAGAGUGAAAAAUUUGGGGAGCCUCAUAAACAUCAAACUCUCUCCAAACACAGCAGUUCCCAGAGUCACACCAGCAGCAUCCAGAGCGUCAAAUCCACCUCUGAGCUGCUGGUGGAAGCCAGACUUAUUGCUGGACUCGAACUGCCAGAUGAGGUUGACCAGCAGAGGGCGCCAAAUGAGACCCUGGCAGACACAACAGGGAUGGAAAGUGGGCACACAAAGGAUGAUAGUGGUGCAACUUUCUCUCACCAAAGAUUUUUACAUUCUAUGGAAAGCGAAGGUGGACACAGGGGCCAACUCAAAGAGACACCUCAGCACCACAAGAGAAAUGUUCCCCAAGACCAAUGUGCCGUCCACCUGUGUCAUCUGGUGUCUACAAGAUGGCUCAGUCAGUUUUACAGAAGUAUUCUGUCAGUGGAGGAGUCAAGGAUCUCUUAUCCCAAUGCAGAAGGGAAUAGAACCAUCCACCAUUUGUGUACCACUCCUGCUAGUCAAGUCAUGCCUGUUGAGUUACAGCUUGCUUCUAGAAUCUGCCACAUUCAAAACCUGACCACUGCAACAGCACAGUUUAACCAGCAGAGGACAGCACUUGGACAUAAAUCUCAUCCUGAAAAGAAGAGGCUGUUAUGUGAAGGUGUUUCUGUUGAUUCUACUGGGGUUUCAGCACAGACAGACUGUGUUUCCCAUAUGCCUAAACAGACGUCAGAUGCUCUGGAGGACUGGCAGACAAUGGCAGAGUAUUACAUGGCAACAUUGUGUCCCAGUGAGCUCAGAAUGUUCUGGAACCCAGCACCUCCUAAAUUCAUCUGUGCUCCCUUUGUUAUGAAAGACACACUUUUCCCCAAAUACCAGAAAAAACUGGCACACCUGUGCAAAGAGAAUCUGUUGGAUGAGCUGCACAAUGUGGUGGAGUCAGUUAGCCAUGUGAUGGACACAGAACAGGCUACUUCUGAGGUUUUUUUAUUUAAAGAGAAUGUCUAA